rnacentral:rRNA from 1 species
GAAUGGCAGAAGCUCAAGGUGAAGAAGGCCAUCGAGAAGGGCAACACCGAUGGUGCCCAGAUCUAUUCAGAGAAUGCCAUCCGCAAGCGCACUGAGCACAUGAACUACCUCUGCCUCGCCUCCCGCCUCGCCCCAUAUGCCCAUGACACAAGGGUUCCAUGGGGAUACAACAGCAGCAGGACGACCAUGACUACACCAUUGCUGCCAGUCUCGAAGGUGAUCGUAUGCAAGGCACCAAGGUGCAUGGUGCUCGCAAGCGAUGAACGGAGGCAGUUCGACAUCGGCUACGCAAACCACCAU